rnacentral:rRNA from 1 species
ACUUGGAAACAGGUGCUAAUACCGGAUAACAACAAUAGCUGCAUGGCUAUUGCUUAAAAGGCGGCGAAAGCUGUCGCUAAAGGAUGGACCCGCGGUGCAUUAGCUAGUUGGUAAGGUAAUGGCUUACCAAGGCGACGAUGCAUAGCCGAGUUGAGAGACUGAUCGGCCACAUUGGGACUGAGACACGGCCCAAACUCCUACGGGAGGCAGCAGUAGGGAAUCUUCCACAAUGGGCGAAAGCCUGAUGGAGCAACGCCGCGUGAGUGAAGAAGGUUUUCGGAUCGUAAAGCUCUGUUGUUGGUGAAGAAGGAUAGAGGUAGUAACUGGCCCCUAUUUGACGGUAAUCAACCAGAAAGUCACGGCUAACUACGUGCCAGCAGCCGCGGUAAUACGUAGGUGGCAAGCGUUGUCCGGAUUUAUUGGGCGUAAAGCGAGCGCAGGCGGAAAGAUAAGUCUGAUGUGAAAGCCCCCGGCUUAACCGAGGAAUUGCAUCGGAAACUGUGUUUCUUGAGUGCAGAAGAGGAGAGUGGAACUCCAUGUGUAGCGGUGGAGUGCGUAGAUAUAUGGAAGAACACCAGUGGCGAAGGCGGCUCUCUGGUCUGUAACUGACGCUGAGGCUCGAAAGCAUGGGUAGCGAACAGGAUUAGAUACCCUGGUAGUCCAUGCCGUAAAACG